rnacentral:rRNA from 1 species
GAUGAACGCUGGCGGCGUGCCUAAUACAUGCAAGUCGAGCGAACAGACGAGGAGCUUGCUCCUCUGACGUUAGCGGCGGACGGGUGAGUAACACGUGGAUAACCUACCUAUAAGACUGGGAUAACUUCGGGAAACCGGAGCUAAUACCGGAUAAUAUAUUGAACCGCAUGGUUCAAUAGUUAAAGACGGUUUUGCUGUCACUUAUAGAUGGAUACGCGCCGCAUUAGCUAGUUGGUAAGGUAACGGCUUACCAAGGCAACGAUGCGUAGCCGACCUGAGAGGGUGAUCGGCCACACUGGAACUGAGACACGGUCCAGACUCCUACGGGAGGCAGCAGUAGGGAAUCUUCCGCAAUGGGCGAAAGCUUGACGGAGCAACGCCGCGUGAGUGAUGAAGGUCUUCGGAUCGUAAAACUCUGUUAUUAGGGAAGAACAAAUGUGUAAGUAACUAUGCACGUCUUGACGGUACCUAAUCAGAAAGCCACGGCUAACUACGUG